rnacentral:rRNA from 1 species
AUUGAACGCUGGCGGCAGGCCUAACACAUGCAAGUCGAGCGGAUGAAGGGAGCUUGCUCCUGGAUUCAGCGGCGGACGGGUGAGUAAUGCCUAGGAAUCUGCCUGGUAGUGGGGGAUAACGUCCGGAAACGGGCGCUAAUACCGCAUACGUCCAGAGGGAGAAAGUGGGGGAUCUUCGGACCUCACGCUAUCAGAUGAGCCUAGGUCGGAUUAGCUAGUUGGUGGGGUAAAGGCCUACAAAGGCGACGAUCCGUAACUGGUCUGAGAGGAUGAUCAGACACACUGGAACUGAGACACGGUCCAGACUCCUACGGGAGGCAGCAGUGGGGAAUAUUGGACAAUGGGCGAAAGCCUGAUCCAGCCAUGCCGCGUGUGUGAAGAAGGUCUUCGGAUUGUAAAGCACUUUAAGUUGGGAAGAAGAGCAGUAAGUUAAUACCUUGCUGUUUUGACGUUACCAACAGAAUAAGCACCGGCUAACUUCGUG